UCGGUCUUGGACUGCUGGGACCCUAGGAGAUCCUUCCAGAUCGAGAUGGCAAGGCUGGAGCCCACCCCUGGACUACCUGACAGGGACCAAACUGGUGGUAGUUGUGGUUGAAGUGGUUGAGGGGGACAUCACAAUGCUGGCACUUGAAAGCAGCAGAACAGCAUGCCACUGAGGGAAACCAAGAGAAAGGGUCCACAGAGGAGGAACCAAUAAAUCAAUCC